rnacentral:rRNA from 1 species
UACGUAGGGUGCAAGCGUUAAUCGGAAUUACUGGGCGUAAAGCGUGCGCAGGCGGUUUUGUAAGUCUGUCGUGAAAUCCCCGGGCUUAACCUGGGAAUGGCGAUGGAGACUGCAAGGCUAGAGUUUGGCAGAGGGGGGGUAGAAUUCCACGUGUAGCAGUGAAAUGCGUAGAGAUGUGGAGGAACACCGAUGGCGAAGGCAGCCCCCUGGGUCAAAACUGACGCUCAUGCACGAAAGCGUGGGGAGCAAACAGG